rnacentral:rRNA from 1 species
AAACCUGAGAGUUUGAUCCUGGCUCAGAACGAACGCUGGCGGCAGGCCUAACACAUGCAAGUCGAACGAAGGCCCGGAGCUUGCUCCGGAUACCUUAGUGGCGGACGGGUGAGUAACGCGUGGGAAUCUGCCCUCAGGAGGGGGAUAACGGCCGGAAACGGCCGCUAAUACCCCAUAUGCCGAGAGGUGAAAUGAAUUUCGCCUGAGGAUGAGCCCGCGUCUGAUUAGCUAGUUGGUGAGGUAAGAGCUCACCAAGGCAUCGAUCAGUAGCUGGUCUGAGAGGAUGAUCAGCCACACUGGGACUGAGACACGGCCCAGACUCCUACGGGAGGCAGCAGUGGGGAAUUUUCCGCAAUGGGCGAAAGCCUGACGGA